CGCAUUAUAAACAGAAGUUAGCGCAAUUGAUCGUCCUACCCCUAUCCCUAGGUGGUAUUGCAGAAUCAAGAGAUUACUCACCAAUUCAUAUCAUUACCGCACGUCCCAAUGUCAAUAAUGACAAACAACAAUAUAUCGAAUGAGUUAAACGAUAAAAGCCUUAAGCACAGAUGAUAACCCAACAAUAAUCAAUCAAAACAUAUGGAGACCAUAUAAAUAAUCAAUAGUUUCAAUAAGAGAGAGUAUCAAAAGAUUACAUUGAAUUCCCCAACAACAAUAGGGUUUAGUUCACCAUAGACAUGGUGAAACUAGAUGAAAAAUGGAAGAAGAAUGAAAGAGCAAACCCUAGAAAAGAUGAAAAGGAGCCUAAGCAUCCAAGAGAUCCUCUCCAGAGAGCAAAAUUAGGUCUG
rnacentral:lncRNA from 1 species